GCGAGUAUGGUGAAGCAGUUAACACAUCUGGCUGUGAACCAGACACUGGCAGGUGCGACUCCUGUUACUCGCCCCA
rnacentral:tRNA from 1 species